rnacentral:rRNA from 1 species
UACGUAGGGUGCGAGCGUUAAUCGGAAUUACUGGGCGUAAAGCGUGCGCAGGCGGUUUCGUAAGUCUGUCGUGAAAUCCCCGGGCUUAACCUGGGAAUGGCGAUGGAGACUGCGAGGCUAGAGUUUGGCAGAGGGGGGGUAGAAUUCCACGUGUAGCAGUGAAAUGCGUAGAGAUGUGGAGGAACACCGAUGGCGAAGGCAGCCUCCUGGGCCAGCACUGACGCUCAUGCACGAAAAGCGUGGGGAGCAAACAGG